rnacentral:lncRNA from 1 species
GGAGCCCAGCUCCCAAAAUCCACUCAGCAGCCACACCAGUGGGGAUUGUCAGACAUCGCACCUCAGGGAGGGAGGGACGUGGUGCUGAGGGGCGCUGAGGGGAACCCUACGGCUCCCGAACCGGGGCGUGACGGGAGAGGGGCGCUGAGGGGAACCGGUGCCCGGGGUCCCACUGCUCAGGGCGAGGGUUUUUUGAGGUGCCCUCCAGCCGAGGAAGGAGGGGGGCGACCGAAACCAAACACAGCUAGCCCCGCGACCCCCGCGGGCUCGCCCUGCGCCACAGCCGGAUCCCGGCGUGUGCCGGGGCCGGGGCCGGUCGGAGCGGCGCUCCCGCUCCCACUUCGCCUUGGCAGGGCACCGCCAUCAGACGGAGUGGGAGGAAGGAACAUUAACUCCAGCAGCUGUUUCUUGACCCCGGCUGUCAGCCUGCCCGAGAACACAUCAUCUGUGACCAGAAAGCACGCAGGCAUACCUGCACCACUGUCCUCAUCUGUGCCGAGAAGCCCUAAGAGAUGGAAAGCUUUGGCUGGCAAAGUGCUGAUCAUUAGUGCAGCUUGUGCUCAGGAAGUGCUCAAAGGACACGUGUACCUUUCACUGAAUGAUUAUGUUCUGGAGAAUAGGAGUGGGAGUUCCUGUAAUAGUUUGUCCAGUGUAUGCUUCUGUCUGUGCCAGCUUUGGGGGGCAGAUGAGACAGCAGUGACAGUGUCUCAGCACAAGCUUCUAGGUCUGAACUACAGAGGAAAGGAUGCUGGUAGUGGCUGUGCAAUCCUCUAUCUGAAAGUCCUGAGGAAAUAUUCCAGCAAAGCAUAACUGUGUUAUAGGUAAAUAUAACUUCAGUGAAAGAAGAGGAGUUGCAGCCUCUUAUGCCAGGGUGAGUUUGGUGAACUGGGUCAAUGCACUUGAGAAUCACAGAUAGAAAGUAAAAAAUUACAAGGGGUAUAUUAGGGUGAAAAAGUGAACUGAGCUCUCAUGGUAAUUUAUUUUGAAUUCUACUGACAAGAGGUUUACAGGAUUGGAUCCCCUACAGAUCUUCUUUUCUUUUGCACUUAUUUCUUCAGUGGCAAUCAGCAGCAGUUUCAGGUUCAGGAAAGUAUCCCAGUAUUGUUCAAAUUAUCAUUGUACUUGAUAUACUCAAUGCUUUCAUGUUUUAUAAGGUAAAUUCUAUCUGAAUAAAUGUGCAAUUUUUCUGGAAAAAAAAACCUAC